CUGGCAGAUAACCGAAAAACAACGCAGCUCGGCACGGAGCGUAUGAACUCUGUGUACACUCUGAAAAUAGAGCUGUGUUGCGUGAAAGGCAGGAAAGGGAGCGAGGCGCCAUAUGCGCCUGCUGAAAUCGGAAGAGGGCAAUGUACCCCUGUAGGUAUACGCAUCUGAGCUGAGUAUUGGCCGCUGUGCUUCCAGAUCAUUUCUUCAUUGGAUUGGCGUUGUCGGAACACUCUCCCGCCGUGUGUGCUCCUGUGAAGAGCUUGGACCCUGUCGGCCAAAAGCCGGGCUAAUGAAAACCCUACGCCGUUUGCAAAGUGGUACCAAUGGUACCAAGUGGAACUCAAUAUUAAGAGUGCGCACAGUCGGGAGAGGGAGUGAGUCAGCAGCCAACAGUGAAACUGGGACAGGCAGAUACUUUCAUAGCAUGCAUCAACAUUAUGCAUAGGCUAUUACUCUUUACAAAAUCAUGGUUUUAGAACAAU